ACCCUCGUUGUGACUAAAGGAUCUUCCAUCAUUUACUCCUAGCCUUCUGUAUAUUCACUGGGAGCAAAAAAAAUGAGAUCAGAUUCCAUCAAAAUCGCAUGCAAGUUAGCAGACACCAUAAACCAAGUAAUAUGCUCCAGGAAAGUCAAAAGAUUCAGAUGUGCACACUACUAACUCCAAGAUGCACCAAAGAGGAUGAAGCCAACUGAAUGCCAGUUCAAACUGAAAGCUGCCACAAAGACCAAAUCAUCAAUAAUAUGUGUCAGAAUCGCUAAUCAGAAGUCAAAACCAUCGGGGAAGCAGACACAGUCGAGGCUGAUGGCUUCACCAAGUCCCUGCACCAACUGACGUUUUACUAUACUUUCCAACUCUACAAUCUUGCACUAACACCUCCAACACUGCAAAUGCACGAACAACCCAAAUAAAAGGCAUACUUCAAAAAUUCUUCAGAGAAAGUGAGGCGGAAUUAUGAAGUCUAUGUAGAGAGUACUAAGAUUUUGAGGUUGUAGGAAACUCUUCCAUCCAGAAGCCCUGAACUCUGUGGAUCAAUUUGAAUACUCAGACUAACAACUCAGGAAACUGGUUUUCUAACCGACAAAAUAGAAAAAAUACGAAAUUAGAUCUGAAGACAGAUUUUCAUGUAGCAUGACAUGCUCUUAUCUUAUAUGCUCUUAUGGUAUAUGCCCUCAAACUUGAUAAUAUGGUAAAACUGUUCACUUAGGAGACUUGAUUGCACACUCUAAUUUGCCAAAGUUUAUAUGCUUGGAAGAGAAAAACUGUAUAACAAAUGGAUAUAAAACCAAAGUACCAAUGAGUGUGCCUCAUCCUUCCCGCCAGGAAGCUCUAUUUAUGAGCAUCAAAUAGACUAUUUCCACUUGGCAGCAAGGCAUACUAAUAGGCACACAAAAAGUUAACCUGUACAUGAUGUUUAUCUCUUAUAAUAUCAUCUUUGCAAAGGGAAAAAAUGCAGAACAACCAAAUAAAAGCUUAGUAUUGUUAUCUAAAACAGUAGUACAUCAUAAAAUCACCUAUCGUAUCAUUUGUUUUCCACCAAAUCUUAUUUCCAUUGUCUAGCAUAACAAAUCAUCACAAAUCAUCGAUCCUCUGAUCAUGAAACAUGCCCAACCAAAAUAUAAAAAGCAGAAAGGUAAUAUAUUCUGGGUGCAUGAUGGAAGGGCAACAUGAGCUAAAUUUUAUUGUCUCAUUUUAAAGUGUAAAGCAUGGAUUGCACAAUUGCACACGGAAAUUAAGGAGAUAUAUGUGCAGAGCAGGGUCCGCACGGACCUUCGGAUCAGCACCACCAAGCAUCAAAUAGAGGCAGAAAGAAAUCCAUGGUAUGUCAGAAAAUUCAGUUGCUAGUUUGCUACUACACCAUGCUUCAUCACACACGUACUACCACACAUCAAAUGUCUGCGGUACAAUUAAGAUAGUUAAACUGGCAGAUCAGGUGGAAAGCAUGGUGCAAAUUUGAAUUUUUGGAACAAUCAUUUGGUUGUAUAGUUUACUUGUAGUAGUUCAUAGAUUAUAAUAUGUCAAUUUUGAGGUAAGGUGACCACAUGGCAAGCAAGAUGUCAUGGAGCAAAUUUGAGGUAAGGUGACCACAUGGCAAGCAAGAUGUCAUGGAGCAAAUUUCAGUGGACAACCGACGAAGUAGAGUGAUAAUUGGGUGCGUACCCGAUCGAGCAUCCAGAGCUUCGCCUAGUUUCUUUCCCUGUCAGACAUCACUUCCCUUCUCCUUGGAGGCUGAAGGACCCCUUUGAAGGAAGUGUCGAAUGUUAAGCUUC
rnacentral:lncRNA from 1 species